GCAGUCGUGGCCGAGUGGUUAAGGCGAUGGAAAAUCCAUUGGGGUUUCCCAUCGCAGAUGCGAAUCCUGUCAACUGCG
rnacentral:tRNA from 2 species